UACGUAGGGUGCAAGCGUUAAUCGGAAUUACUGGGCGUAAAGCGUGCGCAGGCGGUUGUGCAAGUCAGAUGUGAAAUCCCCGGGCUUAAACUGGGAAUUGCAUUUGUGACUGCACGGCUAGAGUGUGGCAGAGGGGGGUAGAAUUCCACGUGUAGCAGUGAAAUGCGUAGAUAUCAGGAAGAACACCCGUGGCUAAGGCGGCUCUCUAGUACGGUACUGACGCUGAGACGCGAAAGCGUGGGGAGCGAACAGG
rnacentral:rRNA from 1 species